rnacentral:rRNA from 1 species
UCCAUAGGUUAAUGAGGCGAACCGGGGGAACUGAAACAUCUAAGUACCCCGAGGAAAAGAAAUCAACCGAGAUUCCCCCAGUAGCGGCGAGCGAACGGGGAGGAGCCCAGAGCCUGAAUCAGCAUGUGUGUUAGUGGAAGCGUCUGGAAAGGCGCGCGAUACAGGGUGACAGCCCCGUACACAAAAGCGCAUGUGCUGUGAGCUCGAUGAGUAGGGCGGGACACGUGGUAUCCUGUCUGAAUAUGGGGGGACCAUCCUCCAAGGCUAAAUACUCCUGACUGACCGAUAGUGAACCAGUACCGUGAGGGAAAGGCGAAAAGAACCCCGGCGAGGGGAGUGAAAAAGAACCUGAAACCGUGUACGUACAAGCAGUGGGAGCACCCUUCGGGGUGUGACUGCGUACCUUUUGUAUAAUGGGUCAGCGACUUAUAUUCUGUAGCAAGGUUAACCGUAUAGGGGAGCCGGAGGGAAACCGAGUCUUAAUUGGGCGUUAAGUUGCAGGGUAUAGACCCGAAACCCGGUGAUCUAGCCAUGGGCAGGUUGAAGGUUGGGUAACACUAACUGGAGGACCGAACCGACUAAUGUUGAAAAAUUAGCGGAUGACCUGUGGCUGGGGGUGAAAGGCCAAUCAAACCGGGAGAUAGCUGGUUCUCCCCGAAAGCUAUUUAGGUAGCGCCUCGUGAAUUCAUCUCCGGGGGUAGAGCACUGUUUCGGCUAGGGGGCCAUCCCGGCUUACCAACCCGAUGCAAACUGCGAAUACCGGAGAAUGUUAUCACGGGAGACACACGGCGGGUGCUAACGUCCGUCGUGAAGAGGGAAACAACCCAGACCGCCAGCUAAGGUCCCAAAGUCAUGGUUAAGUGGGAAACGAUGUGGGAAGGCCCAGACAGCCAGGAUGUUGGCUUAGAAGCAGCCAUCAUUUAAAGAAAGCGUAAUAGCUCACUGGUCGAGUCGGCCUGCGCGGAAGAUGUAACGGGGCUAAACCAUGCACCGAAGCUGCGGCAGCGAACGUAUCACCCAAGACAACUUUACGGAGUUGACGAUUGACGGAGCGAAGCGACGUCAAAGCGUUCAUUAAAGUCGAGUUGGCUUAGGGAUACGUUCGUUGGGUAGGGGAGCGUUCUGUAAGCCUGUGAAGGUGUGUCGUGAGGCAUGCUGGAGGUAUCAGAAGUGCGAAUGCUGACAUAAGUAACGAUAAAGCGGGUGAAAAGCCCGCUCGCCGGAAGACCAAGGGUUCCUGUCCAACGUUAAUCGGGGCAGGGUGAGUCGACCCCUAAGGCGAGGCCGAAAGGCGUAGUCGAUGGGAAACGGGUUAAUAUUCCCGUACUUGGUGUUACUGCGAAGGGGGGACGGAGAAGGCUAUGUUGGCCGGGCGACGGUUGUCCCGGUUUAAGCGUGUAGGUGUGUGUUCCAGGUAAAUCCGGUU